UAGGUGUCCAUGCCUAAGGCCUUAGCAAUUGCAGAAGUAUGUCAGGUAGUGUUUUUUUAAAUAGGGUGUGUUUGGAUGGCAGCCAAUCUACAGAGCUCCUUUUUGGGGGCCAUCUUGGAGCAGUUCAGCUGGGGGCAGACCAGAGGACCCACGCAGGUGCUGUCAGCACUCCAGAGCAGGCAUGCAAUAAUCAAGGUGGCUUCUUGGGAUGGCUGUGAUUACCAUUUUACGGAACUGGGAUCUGAGUGCCAUUGAUUCCAUGCUGAGGAAGAUGAAGGCGGAGCAACAGAGUAGGACAGAGGAGGAGCUAAAGCAGAGAGAGGCUGAAACUGACCGGCAUUGAGCAUGUUGCUCUACCAAGGAGAGUAGGUAACACCGAGAUCCUACCACUACAAAGGGAGGCUUACUGGAUAUAUCUAAAAACAUUGACCCCUAGUGAUCUGAAUAUUGACUUUGAUCUCAGGCCCUUCUUAUGAACAGUUCUCUCUUUUAUGAACAAGUCUUAUAAAUGGACACACCCAAUAUGUUCCCCCCUGUUGAUGAUGCUUAUUAUGCAUUAUGGUUGAACCAAAACAAUGUAGUGAAAUAGGUAACAAAUAAAUAUAUACACACGCACACACAAAUGUGUUAAAUUGAAUUAAACAAUGUAUGUUGAUGCUAAUAUUAUGUACAAUAUUUGUUUCCAUAUGAUAACAA